UGGACAGAUUAUUGUAUUCGACUGUAUUCACGGCGUGAAACAGGAGAUUACACUGUUUUUAAACGGAAAGUGAAUCAAUUAGCAUAAUAGACUCCU
rnacentral:pre_miRNA from 1 species